UUACUGCUUCUGGGUUAGAAAGAUUUAUAGACAAGCAACACCAGUGAGAAAUUCUAUUAUUCCACAAAGUUGAAGUGGAAAUAAAUCAAAGCUUCAACACAAGGAAGCAGACACAAUUCAGAAGAACACUAGCUAUGAUAUGGGAACAAGAUCUUGGAGUAAGAUUACAAUCCACAAAAGAUCUGUUCUACUUCAUUCACAGGAGAAUAUAGUUAUAUAGCUAUAUAGUGUAUUUAUGCUCUAUUUUAAGAGAUUCGGAUCAAGCCAGUAAGCCUCUGUUCUGUUUCGGUUUUAACAUUACCAAAAAUAAAGGCUUUGAAAAUCAGACUUUAGAGCAUAGUAGGUUUCCAAAACUGAGACUUUUUUGGUGGGGGCCAGUCAAUAGGUGGUUGUUUGGGUUGUUUUUUUUUAAGAAAUGAAAGCCUAAAUGUAAACCAUUUCAAGAAAUACACUUCCAACAGUUGCAUCUAUAUAGGUGGCCAUUAAUUUCCUGAUGACCAUAAACCAGAGGCUACUGAGAAACCGAUACUCAGCUCCUUUACAGAACACAGAAGUACUUAAAACACAAAGAAAAGAAAGCAGAACUGAAUACAACUCAAGUCUUGCAAGUCUAAGAAAAAUUUCGAAGUAUGGAGUUGUCCUAAGAAAAUCAAAAACUACAUUAUGAAGAAAAUGCUGCCAAUCAGCUCUGUGGAAACGGAGAAAAAAGAAAAGGUAUUUUAUGGGGAAGGAGUAGUAACAAACGAUAUGAGAAGUGUGGCAAACGUACACUGGAUCCCCUGAGAGGUCUGUGACCUGUUUACCGUCAGGUAAACCUGAAUCCUUUUUGGCAGACUCCUCUUAUGAUUCCCUUCUUCCUCACGAGGACUGUGCAAGCCAGUCCCACUGAGGAUUUUUAAUGACACUUCUACUCUUCCUGCCCUUUAAACUGUAGCCUACAGAGAGUUUUCUGAGGUUUUUGUCCAGGCUGUAUUUUUGCUCUUUUUUUCUGUCCUAACAGAGAUUUGUUGACACUGUCCUAUUGAAGAAGAUGGGAAGAAAGAUGUCUGUGGCAGAAAGGAUAAGCUGCUUUCAGAUCUAUCUUCAACAAGGAUGCACUAACUCAGUGUACCCAGUUGUGGGGGGUUGACCCAGCCUGGACACCAGGUGCCCCCAGAACUCCUCUGUCAUUGCCCUCCUCAGCUGGACAGGAGAAGAAAACGCAGUCCAAGGUUCCUGCUACAAUCCUGUGCAAAACAGACUCAGGAAAAGUUACUGGAUUGAAAUUCCUUGGUAUUCCAUAACAAUGCAAGAGCUCAUCAUACGUGUUCCUCAAAGAACCAUCAAUAAACAAACUCUAAAGAGUCAAAGGCUUCUUCAGAGAAUCCAGGAGGUCACAUCCUCUGCCUGUAACAACAGGCUGGCUUUGCUGAAGCUGCUCUGGUUUGCCUCAGAAUCUGACUGUGCCUCGGCUCCCGGGGCUGUAAGAGAAGGGAAGUUGCCCAGGUUCCCAGUCCUGGGGCUUGCCCACUUACACUAAACAGGAGCUCCUCCACUUCAUCUACAGACACAAAGAAAUGCUCCUCAGUUCUUUCAUAUCAAGCUUCUGAACAUUGGAAAUAAAUAUUGAAACAAAACAAAAAUAUGCCAACAGUAUUUAAUGUAGCACUGAAUUUUUGAAGGCAAAUGGCUACACAGCGUUGCUUAAGAUAUCAGAUAUUUGUGUGCAUAUUGCAAAACCUGCAGCUCCUGAGAUCCACUGUGGGGAGCAGCUGAUGUGAGGCACCCGAGGAAGGAUGGGCAGGCUCCCUCCCCCUCAGCCUGGUGUGGCCUUCUCAUCGCUCUCACCUGGGCCUGAGCAGCAGCCGGCUCCACCUGGGGAACUGCACAGCCCACCCAGGCACAGCUGGCAGUGCCAUAGCACCUGGGCUGGGAACAAAGCACCAAGAAAGAGGAUAAAGUAAAGCUUUAUGUUAGGUGCUGCCUUUGAAAGGCUGCUCUAGAGAAGAGCUGUGAGAACACUGCUUCAAAGUGCUGCAUGGGCUGCCUGUAGCAGUCACUCACAGUGAGAGAGAGGAAGGAGCAACCCCUGUUGUAAAUACAGGAGUCUUGAACUGGAACCUGGAAGAGCAGCUGCAAGCCUUGGGAAAACAAGCUACAUCUGAAAAUAACAUGAGUUCUGUAUUUUUGUGGAGAGCAGUGAGUGUCUGAGUAGUGCUGCACUUCAGGCUGAAGUAGGAGUUCUCAGGAAGUGCCGAGCAGAAAUGCCAGCCAGGCGAAGCGCAGUGGCUGACACAGAGCAGGAGCUGUGCCCUGGUGCUCGGGGGCUUUGUCAGAGCAGCCACUUGUGUUGGAAGCAUGGCCAAAGGGAUGCUGUUCCACCAAAGUGCACACAGCAGGGAGCAGGACAGCAGCACUGAAGGCAGAGGAACGCACCAGGUACUUGUGGUGACUCAGGUGAGCUCUCAGGGCAGUCCCUGUUCCACUGGGAUUCCCAGCUUGCUGCUUUAGCCCUUUGUUCCCUCCUUCCAGUCCUGCUGAGGCCCCAGCAAGGCUGUUCUGCCCAUCUCACUCCUCUCCCAGGGGGAAAGCACAGCCAGAGCCUAGAAGGAGCUGAAGUGCACUGCUCCCCUCUCCUGUGCUGCUGGAGGAGCAGCUCCUCUCCAGCAGCAGCUGAAGCCCUUGCACUGUGCAGUGAAGGUGUGGGGCCAGCUGCCAGCUGCCACAGCAGCGCACGGUGCCAAGGCAGCCUUUUCCUGGGUGUUGUGCUGGAAACUUGUGAAUUGAUGGGCCUGGGAACUCAGAAAGGGAAACAGAUAUUUCAGUCCAGCCUUGGAGCAUGAAGUUAGACACAUUAAAGCACCUCCAUUUGGCACAGAAGCAGCCUGACGUCAGUGGUUAAGUUAAAGUCUGGCUCUUGAGAUACCUGGGGGAAGAGCUGAAGAUAAAUGAGACAUUUGGAGGAACAGGAGAGGGAAACAGCCCUUGGUGCACAGGACCUCCUCUAACCUCCAUAAUGGGGGGCUGACUAGAGAGAAGGCACUGGAGCUUGGGGAUGGACAGUGAGAAGGGCAGACUACAAGAGUGUGUGGCCUGAAGUCCAAAAGCCACUAAACAAGGGGAGCAGUGAGAAGAGCUGUCAGCUGGCAGGUCCACAAAGCUGCCAGCUGCCCCAGGGACAGUGGCUAAUUCACCUCCACUAAUGCUACAGCCAGGGAUGAACUGGGGAACAAGUGCCAAAGUGAGCUUUGCUGGCAGCCAGCAGCACCUCCUCCAGUGCAGGUCGUCGUGUAGGUGGGAACACACUCUGCUGCUGAGAGACACAGAUGCCCUUGUGCCAUGGCACUGCCACCCACUGCUCCAUGGUGCCAUCCAAGGUUAACCUGGAAUGCCAGUUCAGGAUUCUUUCAGUUGCUCCACCACAGCAUCAUCCAGAACCGGUAAGACAGGGACUGUGGCUGCACUGUUUCAAGGACACAGUUCUUUCUUUUGCAGAUCUGCAAAUAUUACAUCCUCUGCUUUCCGUCCCUCUCUUUCUCUCAAUUGGUUUUCAGGCUUUAAGAGAGGCUGGUUUGGGUUAUUUUUUAAUGAACCACUACUCUUUGUGAGAAGGGCUUUUCCUUGAAGGUGAUUUAAAUCCAAGGUCCUUGUGCACAGUUUUAAUAGUUGGAGAAGAGAGGGGUGGGGUUGAUGUCAGGGCCACCUCAAAACAGUGCUUUUAUGUCUGGAUUUCACCAGCUGGUACUCAUUUUGUUUUCCUUUUGUUUCUCAAAGUGCAUUUGUCACUGUGGAAGUUGGUCCUGACCCAUCUGAAUGUGGAAAUGUGUCAUUUCUCCCAGGAGAGGAGCCUCCCUCCUCAGUUUUUCUGCUGCUGUUGGCAGCCUGUCCCAGCUCCUGAAGGAGAGGGAAGGGACUGUGAGGAGGCAGUGCCAGCCAGGGGAGGGGUGGAUGCCCGAGGACCAGGGAGGUCACUCUGGCACACACCUGUACUUGGGUGCAGGUGGGAGCAAACAGUGGAGGAAACUGGCAGGAUGAUUAUUUCCUAAGGCUCUUUCUGGUCCAUUCCUUUUCCUGUAGCAGGUCUUCACUAACCAGAGGAUGGGUGCAGUUGCAGGUAUUUGGAGACUCACGCGUUUUUUACUUAAAGCGCAAUAGAACCUUUACUAUCUGCAAGAGCAGGGCCUUUUUUUUUUUUUUUUUCUUAAUCAUCUUGCUGUCUCCUUUUCUGAUUCUCAUUCAGGGACUAUCAGCACGGGGGAGAAUAUAAAAUAUAAUCCUAUUUCAGCUACAGUUCUGGCUCUUGUAUUUUCUGAUGGACUUCUAAUACUGUCUUGUGGGGAGGGAGAAGGUGGGAAGGGGGAGAAGAACGCCUCUGCUCUCUCACACAGAACUUGUCACUUUUUUCAGGCCCAGCUAACCUAGGAAUUGGAUCAAUUUCUAAAACCCCAAUAUCCACUUUCAAAGCUAGAACUUGCUCCAGCUUUUAAAAAAAGCAAUUCAAUAACCAGCCAUUUUAUACCACUAGUGCAUUUCUCUCCCUCCCGACUGAGUCAUUUAUCUGUACAACAUAAAUACCACUACUCUUCUAAAAUUGAAGCAAUUAAAACAUAAAUAGUUAAAUUAAUACAAAAAGCCAUCACUGGUUGUUUGGGCUGCAGUUUCACAUAACCAAAAUUUUAACUGCAUGGAGUCAGUUGAGCACAGUCAGUCACGAAUGGCGUCCCCUUGCCAAGACAGAGACCAAGGAGACUUUUAUUCAAUUUUCUAGAAAUUUUUCAUAAUCACUGACACCAACCAACUCGUCUCCACUGUCUUUAAAAGGCUUGGAGUGAGGGCACAGGUUUCUUGACACUGGCUGGCAAUUUGGCUCUUUUCUGUGUAGCACCCUGUUAUUAAAAAUGACACAGUCCUUGUUGGAGCAUUUUCUAAGACUAUUUAAGAGUAGCAACCUUGCAGCAUCUCACGUUGAUUGCACAGAACACCCCCAAAGGCAUUCAGGCCUCUAAGCGUGUUCUUCAUUUCCACUGACUCAAACUAAGCACCUGCCUAACUGUGUUUAUUGGACUAGAAGAGAAUGAAGCAUUUCUCUGAAUAAGCAGUUGUCUUUCUCAAGCUUCUCAAUGCACACAGGAUGAGUUCUCACCCUUCUUCAUUGAAGGAGGGUUAGGAGCUAUAGUCAUCUCUUCAGGAUUAUCAAUGAAGAUAAAUUUGGGGUUUCACUUUUAAAACUUAAAUUUUUUGCACCAGGCGGAUUAUGCACUGUUGACAGGAGUGACACACAAAAAAAAAAAGGUAAAGAAAACAAUGUGAGUAUUCUACAGCACGAGGCAGAAAUAGCAAGAACCAAACUUGGUUCCAACAUUUGGCUUUACUAUAACGCAUACUGGUCACAGAACUGCUUGUGAAAAGAAACCAGGUAAGGAAAAGAAAACUGUUAAUGUGCAGCCCAAGCAAAAAUCAUUGGUUUCAGAAAUUAUACAUUCAAUUAAAAUUAAUUAAUUGUAUGUUCCAGAGUUUCAAACGUGGUGUCUAAAUUACCUUUUGAAUAGCCAGCACAAGUAUCCUACAGAAAUGAGUGUUUCAAAUCUCACUUCAGCAACAAAGGCUUCAUUUUUGAUUACUGUAGUUUUUGAUUACUGUAGUUUUAGUGAGAGAUAAAUAGGCAGAGGAAGGCUGAGAGAGAGGCAGGAAAGGAUACGUACAAAUAUGUGCAGAGAUAGGGCUAGGCAGGCACAGGGAGGCUGACACAGGUAGAGACAGGUGCGGAUAGGUACACACAGACAUGGACAGGUAGAGAGAGAGACUGGCAGGGAUGGAUGAAGAGGGGACAGAUUUUGACAGGUAGAGAUAGAUAUUGACAGGUAAAAGACAAACAGUUUUGACAGGGAGAGGUAUUGACAGGGACACACAGAUAUUGACAUAUAGAGACAGGUACAGACAGAUCCUGACAGAUUCUCUUGGAUUCCAACAGAUUCUGUUAGAAUCUGACAGACUCUGUAAGAUUUUAGCUGAUUCUGACACAUUUUGACAAAUUCUCUUCGAAUCCGACAGGUUCUGACAGAGAUAUUGGCAAUGAUGGAGACAGAUCUUCGACAGAGAUUUUGUCAGCUAUAAACAGGUACAGAG